UUUUUUUUUUGUUAAAUGUAAAUAUGUUGGCUGCAUUGUUUACAUCUUAUGCUAUCACUAUCUUUUGAUCUUCUAUUGUCAAUAUUAUAGCGAUGUGGAUCUUCUUGUUCGGUAUUCCUAUAAUUUUGUCUUGUAUCAUGUUGCUUGUACGUACUCAUCCUUUUAAAAGUCAACAUUUGUUUCCUUCUUUAGUAUCUUAGACUUUUACAAGGUUAAACAGCUUAAGAUCUGGAGCCACGUUGUAUUUUCUUUGUCUCAAUAUCAUGUAGCUUGUUCUUCGUCAUCUCUAUUGCUUGUAAAAGAUGGCACUUAGUUCUUUCAUUAAAGUCUUUGACCUUUUAGGGGUUAAGCAGCUUAACAGCUACAUUGCAAUGUCCGUAUACAAUCUGUUAAUGGUAAUUCAAAUCAAAUUAUAAUUUUCUACACUCCUUGUUUUCUUUUUCAUUUCUUUCUCGUUCCUAUGCUAAGAUGUUCUCGUAAAUUGUAAUACAACUUGUAAUGUUUAUAGUACAGAUUGUAUAUCUAACAAUAUCUAUUUCGUCUGCUGUCAGGAACUUUAUGCAAAGUUGAAUAGGAUGGCUGCGAUGGCAGCAGAUAUGUUUGUAAGCCGAGAAAGAUUUGCAAUGUUGUUAUUGAUGAGGCUCACAGAGACGGUUAUCUUAUGGCUUUCAGAAGACCAGACGUUUUAGGAUGAUAUUGAGGAAGGACCAAGGCCUUUAGGCCCUCUAGGUCUUCAACAGUUCUACUUGGAUAUGAAAUUUGUGAUAUGCUUUGCUUCGCAAGGACGCUACUUGUCUAGAAAUUUGCGUUGGGCUGUCAACGAUAUUAUUUCCAAAGCACUGGCCGCAUUUUCUGCAACGGGCAUGGAUCCGUAUAGGUACUAUCUAUACUGUAACCUUGGUAUGAUUGUUGUGCAUUUCUUUUUGAAUGAUUCACUAGUCCCAAGUGGAAGUGUAUAAGAAGUAUAGUCAUUGUGGAACCAGGAUGAAGAGAAAAUCCUUUAUGAGAUAUCUCGAUAAAGGAAAAGAGAAGUAGAGGUCAUAAUCCUUUAAAGUGUCAAAUGACAACAUUCAAAGAGUUACAAUUUCAAAGUAAUGAGAUCAGAAAAUGUU